GGUUUCAUACUGGGGAGCACCCAGCUUCAUGUAAUCGGUCAUCUUGACCUUGCUCCCUCCAGAUGAGCUAGGUUUAGGCAUUUGGGUUUCUGGGACAGUAGGUUCUGCUGGUGGUGGAGGAGGUGCAGCAUCCCCUGGGGUAGGGUUUGCUGGACCUGGGUAGAAAGAUGGGGGUGGGUACAUAGGGUACUGUGGGUAUGGUGGGUAGAAAGAUGGGUAUGGCAUGUGUGAGUGGUAAGGGC
rnacentral:lncRNA from 1 species